rnacentral:rRNA from 1 species
AGGGCGUAUGGUGGAUGCCUAGGCUCUCAGAGGCGAAGAAGGACGUGAUAAGCUGCGAAAAGCUCCGUUUAGGUGCAAAUAACCUUUGAUGCGGAGAUCUCCGAAUGGGAUAACCCAAUAUGUUGAAGACAUAUUAUACCGUAAGGUAGGCAAACGCAGGGAACUGAAACAUCUAAGUACCUGCAGGAGAAGAAAACAAACGUGAUUCCCCCAGUAGCGGCGAGCGACCGGGGAAAAGCCCAAACCGUUAUUGUUUCGGCAUUAACGGGGUAGUAGGACUGCAAGCUUGAUGAAAUAAAUGAAAUGGAACACCUUGGAAAAUGUGAUCACAGAGGGUGAUAAUCCCGUACAUGCAAGUUUAUGAAUCAUAGCAGACUCCUGAGUAAGUCGGGACACGUGUAAUCCUGACCGAAUCCGCCGGGACCAUCCGGCAAGGCUAAAUACUCCUGAGAGACCGAUAGUGAACCAGUACCGUGAGGGAAAGGUGAAAAGCACUUCGAACAGAAGAGUGAAAUAGUCCCUGAACCCAUACGCCUACAAGCAGUCGGAGCCGCUUCGUGCGGUGACGGCGUGCCUUUUGCAUAAUGAGCCUACGAGUUACUCAUCACCAGCGAGGUUAAGUACUUCAGGUACGUAAGCCGAAGCGAAAGCGAGUCUGAAUAGGGCGUCAAGUUGGUGGUGGUAGACGCGAAACCUUAGUGAUCUACCCAUGGGCAGGGUGAAGGUUUGGUAACACAAACUGGAGGCCCGAACCGGUAAACGUUGAAAAGUUUUCGGAUGACCUGUGGGUAGGGGUGAAAGGCCAAUCAAACUGGGAAAUAGCUCGUACUCUCCGAAAUGCAUUUAGGUGCAGCCUCUGUUGUUUUGUUCUAGAGGUAGAGCUACUGAUUGGAUGCGAGGGCUUCACCGCCUAUCAAAUCCGGCCAAACUCCGAAUGCUAGAACAUAAAGACAGGGAGUGAGCCAGCGGGUGCUAAGGUCCGUUGACGAAAGAGGGAGAACUCAGACCAUCAGCUAAGGUCCCCAAUUGUAUGCUAAGUUGGAAUUAAAACGGGGUGGGACUGCUUAGACAGCUAGGAUGUUGGCUUGGAAGCAGCCAUUCAUUUAAAGAGUGCGUAACAGCUCACUAGUCGAGCGGUCCUGCAUGGAUAAUACGCGGGCAUAAGCAUAUAACCGAAGCUAUGGGAUUGUAGAUGAUACAAUCGGUAGGAGAGCAUUCCAUUCAGCGUAGAAGCAGUAUCGUGAGGUAUUGUGGAGCGGAUGGAAAAGCAAAUGUAGGCAUAAGUAACGAUAAUGCGGGUGAGAACCCCGCACGCCGAAAGAUCAAGGAUUCCCCGGCAAUGUCAAUCAUCCGGGGGUAAGUCGGAUCCUAAGGGUAAGCCGAGUGGCGAUCCCGAUGGCAAACAGGUUAAUAUUCCUGUACUGAUCAUAACUGCGAUGCAGCGACGCAGAGGUGACACUGCUGCGUACUGACGGAAUAGUACGUUGAAACCCGUAUUCUUUGAUACCGGUAGUGAAGCACGCCGGUAGAGAUGAAAGGUGAUAGUACCGCAAUGCUUCGGUUGCGCGGAUAACGCAGGUAAGCUGACUGCCAAGAAAACCUGCUAAGCUUCAGGUAAUGAUCAUCCGUACUGUAAACGGACACACGUGAUCAGGUAGAAAAUACUAAGGCGCUCGAGAGAUUCAUGGUUAAGGAACUAGGCAAAAUGGUCCUGUAACUUCGGGAUAAAGGACGCUCUUGUGAAAGAGCCGCAGAUAAUAGGCCCAGGCGACUGUUUACCAAAAACACAUGGCUAUGCUAAUUCGCAAGAAGAUGUAUAUGGCCUGACACCUGCCCGGUGCCGGAAGGUUAAGAGGAGAGCUCAGAGGUAACUCGAAGGUUUGAAUUGAAGCCCCGGUAAACGGCGGCCGUAACUAUAACGGUCCUAAGGUAGCGAAAUUCCUUGUCGGGUAAGUUCCGACCUGCACGAAUGGUGUAACGAUCUGGGCACUGUCUCGACCAUGAGCUCGGUGAAAUUGUAGUUCCGGUGAAGAUGCCGGGUACCCGCGACGGGACGGAAAGACCCCGUGAACCUUUACUGCAGCUUCGCGUUGUUCCCGGGCACGGGACGUGUAGGAUAGGUCGGAGGCAAUGAAGCGGUUUCGCCAGGAAUCGUGGAGCCAUCGUUGAAAUACGACCCUUCUCUUGUCUGGGAUCUAACCCAUGUGAUGGGGACACCGCGUGGUGGGUAGUUUGACUGGGGUGGUCGCCUCCAAAAGCGUAACGGAGGCUUCCAAAGGUACCCUCGGGUUGGUUGGUAAUCAACCUUGGAGUGCAAUGGCACAAGGGUGCUUGACCGGGAGACUUACAAGUCGAUCGGGUGCGAAAGCAGGGCAUAGUGAUCCGGUGAUCCCGCGUGGAAGGGUCAUCGCUCAAAGGAUAAAAGGUACUCCGGGGAUAACAGGCUGAUCGCCCCCAAGAGCUCAUAUCGACGGGGCGGUUUGGCACCUCGAUGUCGGCUCGUCACAUCCUGGGGCUGGAGAAGGUCCC